AGAGUUUGAUUAUGGCUCAGGAUGAACGCUAGCGAUAGGCCUAACACAUGCAAGUCGAGGGGCAGCACAUGAAGUAGCAAUACGGAUGGUGGCGACCGGCGCACGGGUGAGUAACGCGUAUGCAACCUGCCUACAACAGGGGAAUAACCCGUUGAAAGACGGACUAAUACCCCAUAACACAGGGAUCCCGCAUGGGAAUAUUUGUUAAAGAUUUAUCGGUUGUAGAUGGGCAUGCGUUCCAUUAGCUGGUUGGUGAGGUAACGGCUCACCAAGGCAACGAUGGAUAGGGGAACUGAGAGGUUUAUCCCCCACACUGGUACUGAGACACGGACCAGACUCCUACGGGAGGCAGCAGUGAGGAAUAUUGGUCAAUGGACGCAAGUCUGAACCAGCCACGUCGCGUGAAGGAAGACGGCCCUACGGGUUGUAAACUUCUUUUGUAAGGGAAUAAAGUGCAGUACGUGUACUGUUUUGCAUGUACCUUACGAAUAAGGAUCGGCUAACUCCGUGCCAGCAGCCGCGGUAAUACGGAGGAUCCGAGCGUUAUCCGGAUUUAUUGGGUUUAAAGGGUGCGCAGGCGGGAGAUUAAGUCGGCGGUGAAAUUUUGCAGCUCAACUGUAAAAGUGCCUUCGAAACUGGUUUUCUUGAGUGUGGAUGAAGUAGGCGGAAUUUGUGGUGUAGCGGUGAAAUGCAUAGAUAUCACGAGGAACUCCGAUUGCGCAAGCAGCUUACUAAACCAUAACUGACGCUCAGCACGAAGGCGUGGGGAUCAGACAGGAUUAGAUACCCUGGUAGUC
rnacentral:rRNA from 1 species